GACGAACUGUCCAAACGUUGUUCGGAAUCACUGGGCUUAAAGGGCGCGUAGGCGGUCGAUCAAGUCAGGGGUGAAAUCCUGCAGCUUAACUGUAGAAGUGCCUCUGAUACUGAUCGUCUUGAGGGAGGUAGGGGUGUGUGGAACUUCCAGUGGAGCGGUGAAAUGCGUUGAUAUUGGAAGGAACGCCGGUGGCGAAAGCGACGCGCUGGACCUCUUCUGACGCUGAGGCGCGAAAGCUAGGGGAGCAAACAGG
rnacentral:rRNA from 1 species